ACGGGCCGGCCCGCCCGGCGCCGCCGCCAGCACCGCCAGCUCCGCGGAGAGGGUUUUGAGGCUGAGGAGUCCAAGCUCAAGACAUCAGCAAGGUGAUGCUUUCUCCCCAAAGAUUGUGGUGUUUUGGGGUUGGCUGCUGGCAAUCCUUGGUCCUUGGCUUUUCUGUUACAAGCUGACAGUCACUCUGCUUAUAAAGGAAUCUAGUAAACCAGAUUAAAACCCGACCUGAUUCAGUGGGGCCACACCUUAACUGAAUGUAACAUAUUGAAGAGAUCUUAUUUACAGUCGAUCCACACCCACCUGUAUGUAGACCAAAAUGAAGAACAUGUCCAAACCGGGGUACAUAAUUUAAUC